CCCGGAGCGGCGGAGCGCGGCGGGGCUGGGUGUGCCCGGCCGGGGAGCUGCCUCCCGCCGCAGACAGAGGCAGGGGGUCGGGGAAAGCGCCAUGUCCCGCGGCUGUCCCGCGGUUGUACCGCGGUCCCCGUCAGGCUCCGAGGCGCCCUGACGGCCCGGUCCCGCCGCCCGCAGCCCAGUGCGGAGAGGGCAGCGGGGUCUGCCAGAGCCCGAGAUCUGCUGGGAUCGACUCGGCGUGGGCACAGCGAGCCACGCUCCGCUCCCGGGCGAUGUCACGGGUUUAAGUUUGUUGCCUUUGCUACUGAGAACAUCUAGUAUAGGGUGUGAAGAUUCAAACUGGAGGGAAGUCAAAGAAGCCCGGAUCACAGGAAGAAUGGAAAUUAUAAACACCAGAGACUGGAAGAAGAGCUGAGGAUUAUUUGGAGCAAGAAUGUGGAAAUGUAACAAAUGCAGUAUGUGCAGAAAAUUUUGGGCAGAGAAGAGUAGGAUCUCAGCAGAGAGAGAGCCAAAACUGAUACAGGCCAUAGGAAAAAGGGAUUUGUGAUGCCAUGGCCAUCAGCUGCCCAGGCACCUGCAGGUGACUCAAGUCUCUGUUCAUGAUUCUAUCAGACAACUGGGGUGAAACCUUACAACAGCUGUAGGGGUCAAAUCCUUUAUGUAAGGACGGGUGCGUCUCUUCCCUGGUGUUGGGUCACUCACAUUAGAAGGUUCUUGUUUAUGGUGUGUUGGCCCUAUCUGGCUGCCAGCCUCACCAAUAGCCUCUGGCCACUCCCUCCCUACAGCAGGAUGUGGGCAAAUUUGUGGGAACAUGAGUGAGGAAGCUUGUGGGUGUAGAUACAGGCAGGGAGAUGGUUUGCCAAUUGCCGUCACAGGCAAAAUAGACCCAGCUUAGGGUAAUUUAACAAUUUAUUGCCAAUUAAUGUUUUGAAUUCCUGAUUUGGUAACGGGGAAGCAGAGAUGGAAGAAGCAAGUGCUAGAACACCUUUCCCCAUCCACUGGUCUUGACAUCCAUCUGCCCUUUCUCACUCUUUUUCUCCCCAUGCACUCCUGCCCAGAUGGUGGUAUCUCCCCUUUUGUCCAUACCUGCUCCUUGAGGGGAUGGGAAUGGUGGGCUGGAUCCAGCAGUGUAGAGCAAUGUUGCUGCACAGGAGAACAUCCCAGACUUCAGCAAUACACAGGCCAAGGUCUCCCUGGCAGCCUCAGUGUGCCCCUGGUUUGAGGUGAUGCUCGAGGAUGCAGUGAAUAUCUUGCCUGGACUUGCCAGAGGAGGAAAGAGGGGAUGGUGCAGGUGCCUCUUCAAAUUGUGGAAGAAGCUGGAAGAGGUGCUGUGAAGCACUGUGCUGGAGGGAAGGGAACUGUGGGGAUUGAGCCUGGCCACACCUGUGAUGGUAUGGGGAGAACAGGACAGCAUCCUCCUGCAGCAGAUAGAAUACAAACAUUCUGCUUUGUGUUCCUUUACUGCUUUGUGUUGCUUAAUAAAAACCUGUACUUUGCUU